CCUACGGGAGGCAGCAGUGAGGAAUAUUGGACAAUGGACGAGAGUCUGAACCAGCCACGUAGCGUGAAGGAUGACUGCCCUAUGGGUUGUAAACUUCUUUUAUAUGGGAAUAAAACGUUCCACGUGUGGGAUUUUGUAUGUACCAUAUGAAUAAGGAUAGGCUAACUCCGUUCCAGCAGCCGCGGUAAUACGGAGGAUCCGAGCGUUAUGCGGAUUUAUUGGGUUUAAAGGGAGCGUAGGUGGAUUGUUAAGUCAGUUGUGAAAGUUUGGGGCUCAACCGUAAAAUUGCAGUUGAAACUGGCAGUCUUGAGUACAGUAGAGGUGGGCGGAAUUCGUGGUGUAGCGGUGAAAUGCUUAGAUAUCACGAAGAACUCCGAUUGCGAAGGCAGUUCACUGGACUGCAACUGACACUGAGGCUCGAAAGUGUGGGUAUCAAACAGGAUUAGAUACCCCAGUAGUC
rnacentral:rRNA from 1 species